UCUUAGCCCAGAUGCAGACACUAAACCACCAACAUCAGGGAAAGGCAGCCCAGCAUCCAGGGCAUGGACGUCCAAAGGACAAAUGGCCCCUUGGCAGGUCCUGAUUAGCUUUGUAGCCAGAAUGUGCGCCUACCAGGGACCAACAGGUUCACUUGCUUUCUGCCUGGUUGAGCCUUAAGCAAGGUGCACAGGCAGACCCCAGCCCAUAAUGAAGAAGGCCAUGCAACUUGUGCGCUUGCCUGUCUGAUACCUCCUCACCCAGCGGCUGAACCCUCAGACAAUCUCAUUACACCCACUCCGGCUGCCUGGGUGCAGGAUACAGACACACAUUUCAUUCCCUGGCUGGAGUCGUGAUGGGUUAGACAGAAUUAUAUUUUACUGUUUUCCACAGGGCAGUUUUCCGGGCCUGGCACUGGGAAGGAAGAAAGGAAAACACAAGGCUCCAGAGGCCCUUCUGUGAGGGAAGCCAGAUCAAUCCUCCAAGGUGGCAAAGGCAAGUGUGCCCACUUUUGGAAGGAAGCAGAAACGUGAGUGGUCUAAUCAAGGCUAGAGACACGUACUGAUGGAUUAAUGGUGGCUACAUUCAAGUCCGGAUGUAAUAUUAUUUUGUAGUGAAUGUAAACCAUGGAGCUGAUGGACAACCCCACAUAAAUCCAUCUGAGAGUGAUUACUUGGUUUUAUUUUAAUGUUUCUGGGUGACCUCCUGGAAAUAAAGGUUGAUGUUUCUUUCUAAAUAUAGUACAGACUCCUUGGUUCCAGCCUCAAUCUACUGCAUUGCCAAGGGGCCUGGGAAUAUGUAUUUAACAAGUUCUCUAGGUGACUUAGACCUGAUGUGGAAUAUUAUUCAUCCUUAACAAGGAUGGGGAUUCCGACACCUGGGCCUGCCCCCUGCCUCACUGUGCUCUAGCCACCUGGCUGCUUCCUUUUCCUGAUUUUAAGCCAGGCUAAUUCCCCUUUCUGGACCUCUGAUACACCUAAUAAAUGCCUAUCCUAUCCCCCAGGCCUUGGCACAGCUGGCUCCUUGUCACGAUCCAGGCCUUAGUCCAGAUGCUGUGCCUGCUCCGUUGGGAGGCACCCCCCGCUGCCCUGCUCAAGCCCAUGGCUCACCACCCUCUGGAAUGAUCUAUUUGUACACUGCCCCCCUUCCCCAUGGCACAGGCCACCUCAUGCCAGGACAUUGCCUGUCUGAUUUGUGGCAAGAAGAAUGUCUGGGCAGAUGAAAGACAGCAAGUCUGGCCUAUCUAUCUUUUCAUUCUCAGCAGGCGCUAGGGAGCCUGCCACUCAGUAGGUACUCAAGAAGGUUUGCUUGGCUGAUGUUCCCAAAACCCUUCUGCAGGCAGAUAAUGCCACUAAGCCUCCAAAGUGCUAAUUACAAACUGCUCUGUUAGCUGUUCCUCAGAACAACUCAAAGAUUCUCCAAGAAUAGAGCACACUCCUUGUUGUGUCCCUGGAAUAACAAACCCAGUGUCUUGACAGCGUCUGUGACUCAGACUGUUCAUGAAGCCAGAUUUGCCAUCCUCCAAGAGUGUGCACAGGGGCACAAACCUCAGACAGAGGGCUGGAUGCUAUUAUUCAUGGCAGCAGUGGGGUGGGGGGUUGGGGGGCAUCUGGGGCCAACUUGGCCUCCUUCCCAUAGGGUGAGUUUGUGAGAAACAAGCCUGGCCCUGAAUGUGAUCCGGCAAUGUGAGGAAAUCCAUAAGACCAUCAGUGGUGGCCACCACCUCUCUAAUGAACACAGAGCAUUAGAAUUCAUCACACAUGGCUGCUACAUUGUCAUUGGAAAGUCAAUGCUCAGAAGCAGCCAGGGAAAGGUGGGAAGAGGAAGGCCCAGGGAGGCUGAGUUAUUUAAUGUGGCCACAUAGUGAGUCAAGAGCAGAAUGGUACUAGAAUCCAUAUUUCCUGGCCUGUGAUCAGGGCUUGAUCUACUGUGCCCUUGGAUAAGUAAGGGUCCUAGUACCUCCGACCACCAACAGUUGGGUUCAAAUACUCAACUCAGAAGGGAGCAAGCAGGCAGAGCUGGAUUCUGGUUUAAAAGGCCCAGCCGCGGGGAAGCUGUGUACAUGUAUGCACAUGCAAAUCCACAUGUCUACAACUUUGCCCAAGUCUUGCUCCCUCUCAAUGGGUAAGUGGUGUGGCCUAUAUUAUAGCCAGGCCUCCCAGGACUGAUGGGG